UGUGACACUUUACCCGUCACUUAACAUCAACAUGGAGGAUGAAAAUAAGGAUAUGAACACGUCUAUGAUCCAACAUGCCACGCUGGCUUUCUGGAAGGUAAGCUGAGGAAUAUCCGCCAAACGAAGGGAUGAUCGGUGCCGUUAUUGCAGAAGGGGUGGCUCAUCUGAAGUCACUGUUGGACUUGAAGAAGUUACAGAAAGUGAUGAGUCUGUCCAAGAAUGGAUAACUGUGAUCAUAAGGAUGAAGCCUAGUCCGGAGAACCUUUCUUCCAUCAAGAUGGGUAAGGACAAAACCUACUUCCACCCAAGAUACUGGAUAUCUAAUCAGUCACCUACUCUGGCAGAGAUUGUUGAGAACUACCCUCGUUUCAUUGAUGUACCAUAUCUGAUCGACAGUUUGAGAAGAUGUUUCCAUACAAGACAGACAUCUUUCUACACAAAUGGGACCAAAGUUGUUGAAGCUGGCUGCUCUUGAAGGAAAAGAUGAACCACCAGAAGCUGAGAGUGCUGAAUGAAGGUGCUGUAGAGCACUGAAGAUGCUCACACAUGAUCUGCCCCCUACUGGGUCAACAAGAUCUAUGGGAUGGACAAAAUGCAGC